GUGUCAGCCGCCGCGGUAAUACGGAGGGUGCAAGCGUUAUCCGGAAUCAUUGGGUUUAAAGGGUCCGUAGGCGGAUAAUUAAGUCAGAGGUGAAAUCCCACAGCUUAACUGUGGAACUGCCUUUGAUACUGGUUGUCUUGAAUUAUAGUGAAGUAGAUAGAAUGUGUAGUGUAGCGGUGAAAUGCUUAGAUAUUACACAGAAUACCGAUUGCGAAGGCAGUUUACUAACUAUAUAUUGACGCUAAUGGACGAAAGCGUGGGGAGCGAACAGGAUUAGAUACCCCAGUAGUCC
rnacentral:rRNA from 1 species